rnacentral:rRNA from 1 species
GUAGGGAAUAUUGGGCAAUGGUCGGAAGACUGACCCAGCCAUGCCGCGUGCAGGAAGACGGCCCUCUGGGUUGUAAACUGCUUUUAUCUGGGAAGAAAAAGGCCAUGCGUGGCAAAUUGCCGGUACCAGAUGAAUAAGCACCGGCUAACUUCGUGCCAGCAGCCGCGGUAAUACGGAGGGUGCGAGCGUUGUCCGGAUUUAUUGGGUUUAAAGGGUGCGUAGGCGGCUGAUUAAGUCAGCGGUUAAAGACUUCGGCUUAACCGGAGCAGUGCCGUUGAUACUGGUUGGCGUGAGUGUCGGAGGGGUACAUGGAAUUGAUGGUGUAGCGGUGAAAUGCAUAGAUACCAUCAGGAACACCGAUAGCGAAGGCAUUGUACUGGCCGACAACUGACGCUGAUGCACGAAAGUGUGGGGAUCGAACAGGAUUAGAUACCCCAGUAGUCC